AUUGAACGCUGGCGGCAGGCCUAACACAUGCAAGUCGAACGAGUGGCGGACGGGUGAGUAAUGUCUGGGAACCUGCCUGAUGGAGGGGGAUAACUACUGGAAACGGUAGCUAAUACCGCAUACCAUCGGAUGUGCCCAGAUGGGUUUAGCUAGUAGGGGGGGUAAAGGCUCACCUAGGCGCCGAUCCCUCGCUGGUCUGAGAGGAUGACCAGCCACACUGGAACUGAGACACGGUCCAGACCCCUACGUGAGGAAGCAGUGGGGAAUAUUGCACAAUGGGCGCAAGCCUGAUGCAGCAAUGCCGCGUGUAUGAAGAAGGUCUUCGGGUGGUAAAGUACUUUCAGCGGGGAGGCGGUACCCGAAGAAGAAGCACCGGCUAACUCCGUGCCAGCAGCCGCGGUAAUAG
rnacentral:rRNA from 1 species